rnacentral:rRNA from 1 species
AUUGAACGCUGGCGGCAGGCCUAACACAUGCAAGUCGAACGAGUGGCGGACGGGUGAGUAAUGUCUGGGAAACUGCCCGAUGGAGGGGGAUAACUAAUGGAAACGGUAGCUAAUACCGAAUACAAUCGGAUGUGCCCAGAUGGGGUUAGCUAGUAGGUGGGGUAACGGCUCACCUAGGCGACGAUCCCUAGCUUGUCUGGGAGGAUGACCAGCCACCCGGGAACUGAUCACCGGUCCAGACUCCAACGGGGGGCAGCAGUGGGGAAUAUUGCACAAUGGGCGCAAGCCUGAUACGGCCCUGCCCGGUGUAUGAAGAAGGCCUUCGGGUUGAAAAGUACUUUCAGCGAGGAGGCGGUACUCGCACAAUAAGCACCGGCUAACUCCGUGCCAGCAGCCGCGGUAAUUC